AUGCACGCUGGCGGCGUGCCUCAUACCUGCAAGUCGAGCGAAUGGAUUAAGAGCUUGCUCUUAUGAAGUUAGCGGCGGACGGGUGAGUAACACGUGGGUAACCUGCCCAUAAGACUGGGAUAACUCCGGGAAACCGGGGCUAAUACCGGAUAACAUUUUGAACCGCAUGGUUCGAAAUUGAAAGGCGGCUUCGGCUGUCACUUAUGGAUGGACCCGCGUCGCAUUAGCUAGUUGGUGAGGUAACGGCUCACCAAGGCAACGAUGCGUAGCCGACCUGAGAGGGUGAUCGGCCACACUGGGACUGAGACACGGCCCAGACUCCUACGGGAGGCAGCAGUAGGGAAUCUUCCGCAAUGGACGAAAGUCUGACGGAGCAACGCCGCGUGAGUGAUGAAGGCUUUCGGGUCGUAAAACUCUGUUGUUAGGGAAGAACAAGUGCUAGUUGAAUAAGCUGGCACCUUGACGGUACCUAACCAGAAAGCCACGGCUAACUACGUG
rnacentral:rRNA from 1 species